GAUGAACGCUGACAGAAUGCUUAACACAUGCAAGUCUACCAAGAAUCACUUCGGUGAGGAAUGGUGGCGGACGGGUGAGUAACGCGUAAAUAAUCUGCCCUUUAGACUGGGAUAUCCUUUGGAAACGAAGGUUAAUACCGGAUAUUAUGAGAUGGACGCAUGUUCAACUUAUGAAAGCUAAAUGCACUAGAGGAGGAGUUUGCGUCCCAUUAGCUAGUUGGUGAGGUAAAGGCUCACCAAGGCCACGAUGGGUAGCCGGCCUGAGAGGGUGAACGGCCACAAGGGAACUGAGACACGGUCCUUACUCCUACGGGAGGCAGCAGUGUGGAAUAUUGGACAAUGGGCGCAAGCCUGAUCCAGCCAUGCCGCGUGUGUGAAGAAGGCCUUCGGGUUGUAAAGCACUUUCAGUAGGGAGGAAGCGUUGUGUGUUAAUAGUACACAGCGUUGACGUUACCUACAGAAGAAGCACCGGCUAACUCUGUGCCAGCCGCCGCGGUAAUAC
rnacentral:rRNA from 1 species